AGGACGAACGCUGGCGGCGUGCUUAACACAUGCAAGUCGAACGAGAUCCAUUCAGUAGCAAUACUGAUGAAGAUCUAGUGGCGAACGGGUGCGUAACACGUGAGGAACUUGUCCCGGUCUCUGGGAUAACAGUUGGAAACGACUGCUAAUACCGGAUGACGUCGGAACUUCGCAUGGAGUACUGACGAAAGGGUUACUGGAUCGGGAGAGCCUCGCGGCCUAUCAGCUUGUUGGUGGGGUAAUGGCCUACCAAGGCAUCGACGGGUAGCUGGUCUGAGAGGAUGAUCAGCCACACUGGGACUGAGACACGGCCCAGACUCCUACGGGAGGCAGCAGUGGGGAAUAUUGGACAAUGGGCGCAAGCCUGAUCCAGCCAUGCCGCGUGAGUGAUGAAGGCCCUAGGGUUGUAAAGCUCUUUUGUGCGGGAAGAUAAUGACGGUACCGCAAGAAUAAGCCCGGCUAACUUCGUGCCAGCAG
rnacentral:rRNA from 1 species